CGCGAACGCUAGCGGCAUGGUUAAGGCAUGCAAGUCGAACGCGAAACCACCUUCAGGUGGGAGUAGAGUGGCGAACGGGCGAGUAAUGCGUUCCUAACGUGCCCCAAGGUCGGGGAUAGCUCGGGGAAACCCGGGGUAAUACUCGAUGAUCCCAGUGGCCGCAUGGCUUCUGGGCAAAGCUUCGGCGCCUUGGGAUCGGGGAACGUGGUAUCAGGUUGUUGGUGGGGUAAUGGCCUACCAAGCCUAAGACGCCUAGCGGGUGUGAGAGCAUGGCCCGCCGCAUCGGGACUGAGACACUGCCCGGACUCCUACGGGAGGCUGCAGCCGCGAAUCUUCCCCAAUGCGCGAAAGCGUGAGGGAGCAAUGCCGCGUGCGGGAUGAAGGCCCUCGGGUUGUAAACCGCUGUCAGGGGUAAGGAAUUCUGACCCGCCCCAGAGGAAGGACCGGCUAACUUCGUGCCAGCAGCCGCGGUAAUACGAAGGGUCCAAGCGUUGCGCGGAAUCACUGGGCUUAAAGCGUGCGUAGGCGGAAGCGCAAGCGUCUUGUGAAAGCCCACGGCUCAACCGUGGAAUUGCAGGGCGAACUGCGUUUCUUGAGGCCGGUAAAGGUGGCCGGAACUCUUGGUGUAGCGGUGAAAUGCGUA
rnacentral:rRNA from 1 species